rnacentral:rRNA from 1 species
UUAUAUGGUCAAGAAGAGAAGCGCAAACGGUGGAUGCCUUGGCAGUAAGAGGCGAAGAAGGACGUGGAAUCCUGCGAAAAGCUAUGGGGAGCUGGAAACGAGCGUUGAGCCAUAGAUGUCCGAAUGGGGGAACCCGGCUGCAGCGAUGCGGUCAUUUGCAUUUGAAUACAUAGGAUGCAAAGGCGAACUCGGGGAACUGAAACAUCUAAGUACCCGAAGGAAAAGAAAUCAAGAGAGAUUCUCCAAGUAGCGGCGAGCGAACGGGGAGGAGCCUGGCGUGAUUUAUUAUUGAACUGAGUAGA